UUUUAAAAUUAAAGAUUUUUCCACAUGAUGUUGCAGAAGUGAGGGCAACCAGUUUUGAUAAAAUAAUUCUGAUGGUAAAAAUGUAUUAGCCUUAGAAGCUGCUGAGGUGGUCCAUUCUAUUCUGAUACAGGG